UAUAAUUAUACCCUUCCCUAAUUUUAAUAAGUCUCAUUUAAAUAAAAUAUUUCAUUUAAAGAAUUAAUAAGAAAUGACGUAAAAGAACAUUAUUUGUUAAAUAUUGAAGGAAAGAAAUUGAACGGCGUCGCAUUGAGAUCUCGACGCGCGAACUCUCUUCUAUAGUUCUAUAGUAAGGGAUGUAACAUGAUUAAAAAAAUGAAUUCUAGGUACUUAAUGUACAAAUUAAUAUGUACUUGUGACGCGUUGCCUGAUCACAAUAUAUAUGCAUCUUUCACGACUUAAUUUACACGAUGAU